UUGACUGGUACUUUAUGUUACGAAUUCCAACGUUUUGAUAUCAUUUUAAUGAUAUGUUAAAGACCCAACUGAACGAUUCAGAACAUGAAUAAUCAUAUUUGUCUUGGUAAAAUGUAUUCUAUAACAUAAAGAAGUGAAAUGAUCACCAAAGUAUGUUUUCACCCACUCGGGGCAGUCACACUUUAACAGGAAAAUGCUUUUGUAUGAUAUUUAGUGUGAAAUGCACAACCGUUAUAAAUUACCUUUACAAUUGAGAGGUGAUCUGCUGCUGCCUGGUGGAGGCAGGAGGUACUACAUCCAGCGCCUUAUCACCAGUUUCAACUACAUCACCAUAGUUACAUAGUUACAUCACCAUGGGAACAUUAACAAAAACGUCACCAUGGUUACAUCCACAUCGGGGUUGAAAUCAGUAUGACCAAAGGUGUGCAACGUUGAAUUCAACAGAAACUGUUCUAUACUGAACGACUAGAUGAAAAAUGUUGAUUAUGGUAUAAUUAUAUAAUAUCUACCCAGAGGUAGAUUGUAUGGUGUUUGUUGCACGAGUUUUGUGAUUUCAAAUGGUCACACCCAUAUUGAUCAGUCCACACCCAGCAAAGGGGAGCAAAGUACCUCAAAGGCUGUUGAAGAACAGUACGCACCAUUUUAGAUAAACGUGUCGUUCAGUACAAAUCAGCACGCAGCAUAACAAAAUAACUGAACGCACCCCUGGAACAUUCAAACGUCCAUAUGAAUAAAUAGGUGUCGCUCUGAUAGAAAGGUUAAACAAACAUUUUAUUAAUUUGGACAGGCCUUUGUUUCUUUACAUCAUCAUCAUAAUAAUCAGGUGCUCUGCAGCCGCGUCACAUGACAGACAAACUCACAGCUGUAAAUUACAAUAAAGAGCUCUGGACAGACAGAGUCACAGAUUAACGGUUUCAUCCCGAGUCGUUAGCAAUCUGCAGUGAUGGAGGAGACUUGAUGACCAGGAUCAUUAGUAGAGAGGGUCCAAUGGACCUCAAAUCCCUUUCUAUACCCAACUUCCAGACACAUAGGGUGCCCCAUAGAGCUAAAGUAGUAUCUAAUGGUGACGUCAUUACCGGUAGGGAGCCUUCAGAUGGACUAGACCCUACCUGGUCUCCGAGACCUUCAGAUGGACUAGACCCUACCUGGUCUCCGAGACCUUCAGAUGGACUAGACCCUACCUGGUCUCCGAGACCUUCAGAUGGACUAGACCCUACCUGGUCUCCGAGACCUUCAGAUGGACUAGACCCUACCUGGUCUCCCAGACGUUCAGACGGACAAGACCCUUAUCGUUUAAAACCACAGGCGACAUCUGCUCAAAACAAAAUUGAUGUAAUUAAGCACGUGUUGUAAUUACUAGGAUUCUGUGGUUUCACAGGCAAAAGGGAUUGCUUUUGAUUGAAAAUAAAACGCGUUCUGUCUUCCUAAUGAACAAAACAUACUUUAUGGAAAAGAGAUGUAUGAUACACCAUGCUGCCUUGUUGACAAAAUCACAGAGCUGCGUAGAUUACUGUUGGAUUCGUAGAUUACUGUUGGAUUUGUAGAUUACUGUUGGAUUUGAGAAGGGUGCUUCAUUCGCAGUGAAAGAGGACCAUAGGCUGGUGCCACGUGGCUUAGCAUAAUCAAAUCCGCCCAUUGAUAAACAAACACUGGGAAGUGAAGCCACCUCAGGAUGCCGGUAAUGACGUCACCGCUGGAUGCCGGUAAUGACGUCGCCGCUGGAUGCCGGUAAUGACGUCACCACUGGAUGCUGGUAAUGACGUCACCAGUGAAGUCAUCGCUAGAUAUGGGUAUAAUGGUGCUUUCCAGACAAUUGGGAACUCAGGAAUAAAAGGUCAAAUCAGGGCGUCCGUGAUCUUCAGGUCGGAAAGUCCAAGCUCCUGAAAGUUUACUGCUUGGAAAUACGAGUUGAAUGACCGUUCAAAAAUGUUUCCCUAAUUUCAAGUCCCCAGUUCUUUUAAACGUGGCAAGAAGCCUGAUGAAACGAGGCGCGUUCCAUAGCUAAGGCGAGGCAACAAUCAGUGUUUGUGUCACGUCAAGGACUGUGUGAUGGACUGUGUGAUGGACUGUGUGAUGGACUGUGUGAUGGACUGUGUGAUGGACUGUGUGAUGGACUGUGUGAUGGACUGUGUGAUGG
ensembl:lncRNA